rnacentral:rRNA from 1 species
GACUAACGCUGGCGGCGUGCCUAACACAUGCAAGUCGAACGAAGCAGCAAUGCUUAGUGGCAGACGGGUGAGUAACGCGUAGAUAAUGUGCCCUCUUGCGGGGGAUACCGUUUCGAAAGGAACGUUAAUACCGCAUAAAGUCCUUAGGAGGCAUCUCUUAGGGAUCAAACUUCCGGGGCGGGAGGAGCAAUCUGCGUACUAUCAGCUAGUUGGUGAGGUAAUGGCUCACCAAGGCUACGACGGUUAACUGGUCUGAGAGGAUGAUCAGUCACACUGGAACUGAGACACGGUCCAGACUCCUACGGGAGGCAGCAGUGAGGAAUAUUGCACAAUGGGCGAAAGCCUGAUGCAGCGACGCCGCGUGGAGGAUGAAGGAUUUCGGUCUGUAAACUCCUGUCAGUAGGGAAGAGAAUGGACGGUACCUACUGAGGAAGCUUCGGCUAACUACGUGCCAGCAGCCGCGGUAAU